rnacentral:rRNA from 1 species
UACGGAGGGGGCUAGCGUUGUUCGGAAUUACUGGGCGUAAAGCGCGCGUAGGCGGACCUGCAAGUCGGGGGUGAAAGCCCGAGGCUCAACCUCGGAACUGCCUUCGAUACUGCGGGUCUCGAGUCCGAGAGAGGUGAGUGGAAUUCCUAGUGUAGAGGUGAAAUUCGUAGAUAUUAGGAAGAGCACCAGUGGCGAAGGCGGCUCACUGGCUCGGUACUGACGCUGAGGCGCGAAAGCGUGGGGAGCAAACAGG